rnacentral:lncRNA from 10 species
UAAAAGGAAUAUAAAUGUGUUCAUUAUCACUGUACACUUAAAAAUGAUGAAGGUAAAAAACAUUUGUCAAUAAAAAAAUAGAGCUAUGGAAGAAGAGGCAGAUCAAGACAGCUGAAUAGAAGCCUCCAGUAAUUAUCCCCCCUCAAGAAGAACACCAAAUCGAACAACAAUCCACACACAAAAAAGUGAAUGAUUAGAAGGGAGUGAUCACAGUACUUG